AGUGAACGCUGGCGGUAGGCCUAACACAUGCAAGUCGAACGGCAGCACAGUAAGAGCUUGCUCUUACGGGUGGCGAGUGGCGGACGGGUGAGGAAUACAUCGGAAUCUACUUUUUCGUGGGGGGUAACGUAGGGAAACUUACGCUAAUACCGCAUACGACCUACGGGUGAAAGCAGGGGAUCUUCGGACCUUGCGCGAUUGAAUGAGCCGAUGUCGGAUUAGCUAGUUGGCGGGGUAAAGGCCCACCAAGGCGACGAUCCGUAGCUGGUCUGAGAGGAUGAUCAGCCACACUGGAACUGAGACACGGUCCAGACUCCGACGGGAGGCAGCAGUGGGGAAUAUUGGACAAUGGGCGCAAGCCUGAUCCAGCCAUACCGCGUGGGUGAAGAAGGCCUUCGGGUUGUAAAGCCCUUUUGUUGGGAAAGAAAAGCAGCAGGUUAAGACCCCGCUGUUCUGACGGUACCCAAAGAAUAAGCACCGGCUAACUUCGU
rnacentral:rRNA from 1 species